AGGAUGAACGCUGGCGGCGUGCUUAACACAUGCAAGUCGAACGAUGAAGCGGAGCUUGCUCUGUGGAUUAGUGGCGAACGGGUGAGUAACACGUGAGUAACCUGCCCUUGACUCUGGGAUAAGCACUGGAAACGGUGUCUAAUACCGGAUACGAGCUUCAGCCGCAUGGCUAGGAGUUGGAAAGAAUUUCGGUCAAGGAUGGACUCGCGGCCUAUCAGGUAGUUGGUGAGGUAAUGGCCCACCAAGCCUACGACGGGUAGCCGGCCUGAGAGGGUGACCGGCCACACUGGGACUGAGACACGGCCCAGACUCCUACGGGAGGCAGCAGUGGGGAAUAUUGCACAAUGGGCGCAAGCCUGAUGCAGCAACGCCGCGUGAGGGACGACGGCCUUCGGGUUGUAACCUCUUUAGUAGGGAAGAAGCGAAGUGACGGUACCUGCAGAAAAGCACCGGCUAACUACGUGCCAGCAGCCGCGGU
rnacentral:rRNA from 1 species